rnacentral:rRNA from 1 species
GUAACCUGCCCUUGACUCUGGGAUAAGCCUGGGAAACUGGGUCUAAUACCGGAUAUGACCGUCUGACGCAUGUCAGGUGGUGGAAAGCUUUUGUGGUUUUGGAUGGACUCGCGGCCUAUCAGCUUGUUGGUGGGGUAAUGGCCUACCAAGGCGACGACGGGUAGCCGGCCUGAGAGGGUGACCGGCCACACUGGGACUGAGACACGGCCCAGACUCCUACGGGAGGCAGCAGUGGGGAAUAUUGCACAAUGGGCGCAAGCCUGAUGCAGCGACGCCGCGUGAGGGAUGACGGCCUUCGGGUUGUAAACCUCUUUCAGUAGGGAAGAAGCGAAAGUGACGGUACCUGCAGAAGAAGCGCCGGCUAACUACGUGCCAGCAGCCGCGGUAAUACGUAGGGCGCAAGCGUUAUCCGGAAUUAUUGGGCGUAAAGAGCUCGUAGGCGGUUUGUCGCGUCUGCUGUGAAAGACCGGGGCUCAACUCCGGUUCUGCAGUGGGUACGGGCAGACUAGAGUGCAGUAGGGGAGACUGGAAUUCCUGGUGUAGCGGUGAAAUGCGCAGAUAUCAGGAGGAACACCGAUGGCGAAGGCAGG